rnacentral:rRNA from 1 species
AACGUAGGUUCCGAGCGUUAUCCGGAUUUACUGGGCGUAAAGCGUGUUCAGGCGGUCUAGCAAGUCGGGCAUGAAAUCUCUCGGCUCAACCGGGAGGGGUUGUCCGAUACUGCUGGGCUUGAGGGCAGCAGAGGGUGGUGGAAUUCCGGGUGUAGUGGUGAAAUGCGUAGAUAUCCGGAGGAACACCAGUGGCGAAGGCGGCCACCUGGGCUGUACCUGACGCUCAAACACGAAAGCUAGGGGAGCGAACGGG